CCCAACCUUGGCCACACCCCCUUCCACUGCCAUUGAGGUCUCAGGGUUCAGAUCCCUGUCACCCUCAGCCAGGGGAGGGCCACUGCACUGCAAGAUGCUGUACUGGGAAGAGGAGUGGGUGACAGCAGGCGAGAAAGUGACCUGGCCCUAGUGUGGCUCUGCCGGGUCCCAUGGUCCCAGGAGGGCACCAGCUGAUGGGCAGUGCUCUGGUCAUGGAAACCCGGGCUGGAGGGAACCAACAGUUGAGUGACUUCCGGGCUCUCGAGUGUCACCUACUUGGUUCCCACAUUGAGACCCAGCAGCUGGCACCCGGCCAGAGCAGGCGACGUCGGUGCCCUCGGGAGUUUCCUCACCUUGGCCGCUCACUGGCCCUCCCCGUCACCACACACUCUUUCUCUCUUGUGUUCUUAUUUUUUGUCUCCCUCCACCCAAGUGGAGCCCCGUGAAAGCAAGGAUUAUUUCUUGUUCACAGCCACCCACACAUACACGCCCUUUUACACAGUAUACGUGCAUAGUACGUGCUCACUAAAUAUCUUAGGAAUCAAUCGGCAAAGCAGCAGAAAACAGAGCGGCAGCGGUUGCUCUCCGGGCGUUUCAGUUUGGAAACGGUGGGGCGCUCCUUCCCCGCCCCCCCCCCGCCCUCCCGCAGGGCGCCCCGCCGCAGCAGGCGGUCCCUAGCUUUCCUCUGGGCCCCCAGGGAGGCGGCUGGCCCGCGGCAGCCCGGAGGCCAGUCCGGAGGAGGGCGCCCCGCCCCGUGCUUAUUACCCGGGUGUGCACGCACGCCCUGGAAUUUGGAAUCUGGCGUGCGAAUGUGAACCCCGCAAGGGCAGCGCGUUCCCGGGCGCCGGCCGGGGGUAGUCUCUGGAGAGGGCGGCGCUCCCCGGGGUGGUAAUUCCACUCCGCGCAUCCAUUAUUCACCGGCACCGCUCGCCGCCAGAGCGCCGGCUCUGCGCUUCCCGCGCGCCUGUCCCCCAGCAAUCGGGGGCUGCGGCGCCAGGCCAGGCCAGGCCGAGGCGAUCGAGGGGGCCGCGGGGCUGCACGGAGGGAAGGCGCCUCUGUCCCCUGUCCCGACCCACCGCAGCUCCAGCGGAGCCAUGAGGCAGAUGCUCGGAGGCCUUCCGCAGCGGGGCUGCAAGGCCCAGCGAUCUGGACACAGGCCAAGAAGUCAAGGACUGUUGAAGCCGUAGUCUCCACUCUUCUCCCAACACCAGCGACCACCCAGCCCAGCCAAGCCAUAUGGCCUCUUGCUUUGCUGAUGUAUGAGGCACAGGUUUUUGGAGGUCACUUUCCAUGAGGGGAUCCCUAGUUGGGAAGCUGCUGUACCUCUUCCAGAAGUUUCCAUCUUCCAGGGUCUGGAAGAGCAAUCAGCCAACACAGGACCACGCCGCUCAUUGUCAACUAAAUCCUGGGCACCAGGGAGGUAGAAAUGACAUUACAUUGGAAACUUGCCAUGUCCUGCCCCUGAUCAGCUUCCACCCACACACUUCACUUCUGCAGAGCCAAAGAAGGCUCAGCCCAAAUUAAGAGGAACCCUGCCUCUGCGGACAAAGCACAAACAGGAGCGGGUUUAUCCCCUGCACCUCCACAUUCCCACUUUAAUCAUUUGCCGGUAACUAACUUGUCUCCAUUUGGAAAGCUCCUAAGAAAAAUUCUACCUGACACUACGUAGACCGUAAGGCCUAGUUACUUAUGGGUGGUUAUUUUAUUGGAUAAUUCAUCUUGGAUUUUAUUGGAUAACUCAUGGUAAUUCAUACUGGACGGGAGAUGAAGCUCUCCGCCGUGAGCUGUGUGGUUUCAGGACAGUGACUUGGUUUAUCCUGAUCGUCCCUUCUCAGGACCAGAGGGCAUCAGGAGCCAGUCCGAGCCCAGGACUGGGCUGGCACCUGACCUCUGCCCUGUGUUUGGUAAUGGAUUUGACUUCUGCAGUCACUGCUGCAGCGUCUCUGGUCAGCUUGAAUUUGGGAACCUCUGGUGUGGUGGACUGACGGCUGGUAGGCAGCUUGUAACACCAGCUGAACUGCGUCAGCACGGUACUGGGAGUGGAGAGCCCACCAAAGGGUUGUUGCCAGUAACAUAGAAAAAGAACUGGAGAGGAAGAGGUGGUGCUGUUGGUUUUCCCAGAGAAGGUUGUCACACUGGCUUCCUGAUAUGAACUUUGGUAUCAUCAUUGGAGGAGCUCAGGGCCUCUUUGUCACUGAGGAUGGCUGGGGUACUUCUGGGGGAGCUCUGGUCCUUACUUGGAGCAUCACUUCCUGGAUCAGUGCAGAACCCUCAGCCUGCUGGCACAGCUCCUUCACCCUGCAGGUGCAGAGUUUCUAGCUUCUACCACUGACCUUUGGGCCUUCCCAGCACAGAUCCUUGGUACAGACUUGCACAAGACAUUGUCAUGGGCUCUGGGCUUCUGGUUGGACUUGUGGACAUUGUCAUGGGCUCUAGGUCUUUACCUGGACUUGUACAGGACCUUGCCAUGGAAUCCAGGCCCUGCACUGGAUCUUUGGGUCUCAAGUGUUUGGAGAGAUCUCCCUCACUCCUUUGUAUUUGACUCUUUGGGGGACUCCUAUAAAAUAACCCUACAAAUUACACGUCCUGUGUGAAGUUGUUUCUCCUGCCACACCAACUGGAAAGUAGACGGGAUCUUUCCAUUCCUGAUGAAGCCACAGCCUUACUCCAUGUCGUCUGUAACUGCUGAGACACAGACGUGACUGACCAGCUGUUAUGAGUUGAGCUCGGUUCCUCCCAAAAUCAUGGCAUAGCCCUAAGCCCUGGGAUCUGCAAAUGGGGCCUUAUUUGGAAAUAAGAUCUUUCCAAAUGUAACCCAAUCAAGGCCCUCAGGGUGGGCCAAUGUGACUGGGUCCUUCGAAGAAGAAGGUGUCACAUGAAGAGAGAGACAUGGAAGGGACAUCAUGCAAUCACAGAGGCCAGGACUGCAGCGAUGGAGCCGCAAGCCAAGGGUGCCCAGCACCCAGAGCGAAGGGCUUCACCCAGAGUCUCAGAGGAGGCUCGGCCCUGCCUCCAAAAUCUCAAUAAAAUGCAAUUCUGCUGCCAUCAGCCCUGGGAAGCGAAUGUGCCAGCCAUGUUCCUGGGCUGUUUACUUUAUCUCUGAAUUCUCAGCUUAUUCUUUAUGUUGGAAAGCACUAAAGAUCUCCAGAAUCUCACAGAUGUUUCUAUAUAAGCGGAAGGAAUCCAGUGUUACCCUGUUCCUCCCUCCCUCGUCCCUGGGAGGAUGUCUCAGGAGUUUCCUGAUGAAAUCUUUUAUUUGAGGCAACUCUGAGGCCAGAAUCUGUCUGAGCAGGGACAGGCAGGGGGGCUGGCAGCUCCAGUGUCACCAGCAGGACAGAAACAGACCUGACGCAGAGGCGACAGCUCUUGGGGGAGCACAGCCGAGUAGGGUGGCUGCUGUCGAGCUUGGGGCCGAGUGAGGAUGGGGGAACCUUGCAGCCCCAGAAUCUUCGGAGCUGGGACAGGAGCAGGGGGCAGCCACUCUGUUCCCUGAGGAAACCUCACCUUUGGCACUUCCCGCUGCCGGGUUUCCCAGAGCCUCUGCCUCCAUGUCCAUCAGCCUCGGCAGGGGUUGUCUGAGAAUAGGGUACAUGUGCAACAUAUUUGCGUCAGGGGCCUGCACACAGACGGCGCCCGUGAGCAUUCCACGCCUUUGUUACUGACACAAGGGACCCACUUAAGCUGGACCUUAGAAAGGCAGCAGGGACCCUAGAGCAGAGUCUCCCACAGGUAUCUUCUGACUUACAUGGUGUGUACCGCUGUUGGGCUGAACAGUCAGAGCUCCAUACGUGCUAGAAAAGCACCUGCCACUGAGCUACAUCCCUGUCCCAAAAAGCCAAAGCUGCCUAGACCUUGGCGCCGGCAAGUUUACUAAAAAUCUGCUAACUGUGAGCUGAGCUUGCCCACGUGUGUGGUGCCCGUACCCAAGGAAACUCAGGACAGUACCCCAAGCUGCGGGUCUCUCUGAAUAUCACUGUCCUUUUACUGGUUUAUUCACACCAUGACUUCACCCUGAUGUAUGGCAGACCUCAGCCUGGCCCUACAAAGAAGCAAAAAAUGAAUCGGGCUAAAGCUCAGAGGUACAACACGCACAAGGCCCUGGGUUUGGGCUCCAGCAGUGCAAAAUUAGACAGACAGACACAGACACUGAGACUUGGGGCUGGAAUUCAGUACCACCAAAAAUAAAUAUAUACAUAAAAUAAAAUUUUUAAAUCCCGGCCUCAAAGACCUGCUGAGAUCAGAAUAAAUAAAUCCAUCUACCCAGUCGUUAUCCACCUGUCCAUCCACCCAGCUGUCCACGCAGGCUACUCUGAGGCAUCUACUAUCUUCCGUCUCAUGCAGAAGACAGAUGUUGCCCUAACUCAAGCGGAAUGAUUUUAGGGGUGUUAGGAAAAUACUCAAGAUCUCCUUCCCCUAAAACCUACUUGACCUACUUGAUUAGUGCUUGAAAUUUCACUAGUGAAUUAUCAUUUAGAUUUUAAAAUAUUCCUUGGAUGUGUGAAGUGUGACACCUUUAUGGGUCAUUGGUGCCCCAGAGCUAAGGAAAGAGGAGAGGGCAGGCUUUGGACAGGGGUUCUGGGGAAGAAGGGCUGGACACCCCAAGAGGAACCUCCCUGCCCCCUCAUACUCCCUGGCAUGGGCUGACCCAGUGUGUGCCUGGGCCCCAGGAUCUUCAAGGUGUCACCUGCCUGCCGAGCGCUCUGAACUGCUGUUCAACAACUGUUGGAAGAACGAGGGACAGAUCAACACGUUUUACUUAGACCAAAGCACGUGAUGUCCCGGUGACUUUGUCCUUGAACCCAGGAAAGGGUUGUCUGGUCCAUCCACAAGCCUCAGCACCUUUCCUGCUUCAGCCCGGACCGGGACUGACUUCUCCAAAGAAAGUCACGACAACGAAGCUUCAGUGGUGCUUCUACCAAACACAGCCCUACGCCGCGUCGUUCACUGUGACAUGGAACGCUCCCCAGGACUGUUGUAAUAUUUUAAACAGUUUUGACUUGGUAUUUUCUCUCUGCAGGAUUUACCAAGAACACAGAGUGCCAAGAAUUCAAUUGUAAAAUAAAUGAAUCAUCUGUGGUCAAAUCAUCCCACAGGCAAAAUUAUUCUUUUAAAACUCUCCAAAAGAAUCCAGCACCAAAUUGUAGAUAA